AGGCUUAACACAUGCAAGUCGAGGGGCAGCAUGGUCUUAGCUUGCUAAGGCUGAUGGCGACCGGCGCACGGGUGAGUAACACGUAUCCAACCUGCCGUCUACUCUUGGCCAGCCUUCUGAAAGGAAGAUUAAUCCAGGAUGGCAUCAUGAGUUCACAUGUCCGCAUGAUUAAAGGUAUUUUCCGGUAGACGAUGGGGAUGCGUUCCAUUAGAUAGUAGGCGGGGUAACGGCCCACCUAGUCAACGAUGGAUAGGGGUUCUGAGAGGAAGGUCCCCCACAUUGGAACUGAGACACGGUCCAAACUCCUACGGGAGGCAGCAGUGAGGAAUAUUGGUCAAUGGGCGAUGGCCUGAACCAGCCAAGUAGCGUGAAGGAUGACUGCCCUAUGGGUUGUAAACUUCUUUUAUAAAGGAAUAAAGUCGGGUAUGCAUACCCGUUUGCAUGUACUUUAUGAAUAAGGAUCGGCUAACUCCGUGCCAGCAGCCGCGGUAAUACGGAGGAUCCGAGCGUUAUCCGGAUUUAUUGGGUUUAAAGGGAGCGUAGAUGGAUGUUUAAGUCAGUUGUGAAAGUUUGCGGCUCAACCGUAAAAUUGCAGUUGAUACUGGAUGUCUUGAGUGCAGUUGAGGCAGGCGGAAUUCGUGGUGUAGCGGUGAAAUGCUUAGAUAUCACGAAGAACUCCGAUUGCGAAGGCAGCCUGC
rnacentral:rRNA from 1 species